UCCUACGGGGGGCAGCAGUGGGGAAUUUUGGACAAUGGGGGCAACCCUGAUCCAGCCAUGCCGCGUGCGGGAAGAAGGCCUUCGGGUUGUAAACCGCUUUUGUCAGGGAAGAAAAGCUGCGCGCUAAUACCGUGCGGUCAUGACGGUACCUGAAGAAUAAGCACCGGCUAACUACGUGCCAGCAGCCGCGGUAAUACGUAGGGUGCAAGCGUUAAUCGGAAUUACUGGGCGUAAAGCGUGCGCAGGCGGUUAUGCAAGACAGAUGUGAAAUCCCCGGGCUUAACCUGGGAACUGCAUUUGUGACUGCAUAGCUAGAGUACGGUAGAGGGGGAUGGAAUUCCGCGUGUAGCAGUGAAAUGCGUAGAUAUGCGGAGGAACACCGAUGGCGAAGGCAAUCCCCUGGACCUGUACUGACGCUCAUGCACGAAAGCGUGGGGAGCAAACAGGAUUAGAUACCCUUGUAGUCC
rnacentral:rRNA from 1 species